UACGUAGGCAGCAAGCGUUGUUCGGAGUUACUGGGCGUAAAGGGUGCGUAGGCGGUUGUUUAAGUUUGGUGUGAAAUCUCCCGGCUCAACUGGGAGGGUGCGCCGAAUACUGAAUGACUAGAGUGCGGGAGAGGAGAGUGGAAUUCCUGGUGUAGCGGUGAAAUGCGUAGAUAUCAGGAGGAACACCCGGUGGUGUAGACGGCUCUCUGGACCGUAACUGACGCUGAGGCACGAAAGCGUGGGUAGCAAACAGG
rnacentral:rRNA from 1 species